rnacentral:lncRNA from 1 species
GGUAAAGUUUGAGGGUUAGGUUAGUCACACGCUUUAUUAUUGUGACACUUUGUUAGGAGCAAGUGUGUUGUGUCUUUUUGUUCUGGGCGUUCGUGUGGGCAGUCUUCUCUUUCCGGUUUCUGUCUGCUGAUGGAGUAAUAAGUUUGUUGUGGCCGUUUAAAGUAGGCGAAACGGGGCAUUAGGAUACUCCUCAUGUGACUUGGGUGCUGCUGAAAUAAAAAAUGAAGUGGCCAGUACCAACACGACAGUUUUGUAUAUGGCGCACGGCGAAUAAGUUUUAGCCAUUGACAGCAGACAGCAUGUUACACGUCAUUUUGUUCUGGACAGAAGUAAGUGAUGUUUUCCUUCCAGAAAUCAUCGGUCGGCUUUAUUUAACGCGAAGCUGUUAAAGCAAACUCCAGACAAUAUAGAGUUCAAUCAAAACUCGUAUUAAGGAGGAAGGAGAGAAAACAAAACUUUAGAGUGACAAGAUGGAAAACGAAAUAAUGUUGGAUGGGUCGAGAAUCUGGAGAUAUCACUUCUGAACUUAACACUGAACAACCUGAAAUUCACUAAAUUUUUUGCUCAUUAGCCAACAAGGCAACAUCUGAUGAUUCUGAUGAUGCCAAUGCCAUGAUGGAAGAGAACACUUGGUGAAAGAUCAUAAUUUGGUUCAUGUUUACAUGGUGGGGUGGUGUUGCUGUCCAAUGUGGCGUGUUGUUGCAGCCUAUGGUGGUGAAAGAUAUCUGCAUCAAGUUGCUGUUUCUUGUGCAUCCAAGGUGCUGGUUUUGUGCUACAGGAGUUACAUCCAGUAUUGUGUUUUAUUGCUAAUUGUUUCUUUGCAGUUUACCUUUUAUACGUUGAGAAGGAACAAAAAAAAGUAAUACGGGGAGGUUUAUGUCAAACAAAUAAUAAACAUGUCCGCGAUUGGGGAAUGAGGAGGAAGUUGGGGUGGGAUAUUUGAUUAUCAUUUACUAAAAGAAGUUCGGUAUAUUUUAUUAUUUUUUAAAUGAAUAUGCAGGUGAUAAAAUCUGUUGUUAACCCAUAUAACCUUCUCCACUUACACAUCCAUUCCUCAAACCCCGACAUAAAGUCCCACAUCCAUUCCUCAAACCCCAUAAUCUCCAACAUCCAAUUGUCACAAUUGUUGUAUACGUAUAAUCGUAUUCAUGUAUAAAUAAAUAAAAUGUCAUUGUA